AGCAGCCGCGGUAAUUCCAGCUCCAAUAGCGUAUAUUAAAGUUGUUGCAGUUAAAAAGCUCGUAGUUGAAUUUCGGGAUCAAUACGUCGGUCGUGCCUCGGUACGUACUGGCGUCAUUGAUUUCUCCCUUCUGACGAACCAUGAUGUCAUUAACUUGGUGUCAUGGGAAAUCAGGACUGUUACUUUGAAAAAAUUAGAGUGUUUAAAGCAGGCUCACGCUUGAAUACAUUAGCAUGGAAUAAUGAAAUAGGACGUUCGAUCCUAUUUUGUUGGUUUUUAGGAUCAACGUAAUGAUUAAUAGGGAUAGUUGGGGGCAUUAGUAUUCAAUUGUCAGAGGUGAAAUUCUUGGAUUUAUUGAAGACUAACUACUGCGAAAGCAUUUGCCAAGGAUGUUUUCAUUAAUCAAGAACGAAAGUUAGGGGAUCGAAGACGAUCAGAUACCGUCGUAGUCUUAACCAUAAACUAUGCCGACUAGGGAUCGGAUGAUGUUAAUUUUUUAAUGACUCA
rnacentral:rRNA from 1 species